rnacentral:rRNA from 1 species
GUAGUCUCGCACAGAUGCAUAUCAAUAAGCGGAGGAAAAGAAACUAACAAGGAUUCCCCUAGUAACGGCGAGUGAAGCGGGAAGAGCUCAAAUUUGAAAUCUUAAAGGGUUUCCCUUUACGAAUUGUAGUUUAAAGAAGUGUUUUCUGUUGAGGUUUUGGUAAAAGUUCUUUGGAAUAGGACAUCAUAGAGGGGGAGAAUCCCGUAUUUGACCUUUACUUUCAACUUUGUGAUACACUUUCAAAGAGUCGGAUUGUUUGGGAAUGCAGUCCAAAAUGGGUGGUAAAUUUCAUCUAAAGCUAAAUAUUGGCGAGAGACGCGAUAGCGAACAAGUACCGUGAGGGAAAGAUGAAAAGAACUUUGAAAAGAGAGUUAAACAGUACGUGAAAUUGUCAAAAGGGAAGCGUUUGACACCAGUGUUGUUUUUCUGAAAAUCAAUUAAAGAACUGUUUAUGCUAAGUUGUUUAGACUUUAUCAGCUAAUCUGCUUAGUUUUGAGCUUUUCUUUAAUGCACUUUUCAGUUAACAAGUCAACAUCAAUUUCUUUUGCUGUAAAAAAGCUUGAGGAAGGUGGCUUGAGAUUCGUCUUAAGUGUUUAUAGCCUCCUGCCUAUGCAGUCGGAGAGAUUGAGGUCUGCAGCGUAGAUCCUUCGGGGCUAAAUGCAUUUGUGCUAAGUUAUAGCAUUUUAUAGACAACUUGUUGACUAUGAUUUGUCUUGUAGCUUACUCGCUUAUGUUAUUUUACCUACGCUUAGGAUGUUGACAGCAGUAUAGACUGU